rnacentral:lncRNA from 1 species
GUUUUAUCAUAGCAGUUGGUCAUGGCAUUUGGCAGAGCAAGAUAGGCUACUACUUCCAGAUUUUUCUGCCAUGGGAAAAUUAUGUCUCUUCAUCAGUCAUAUCUGCCACACUCAUUUACUGGUCCUACUUCAUUGUUCUCAACACCAUGGUGCCCAUUUCCAUCUACAUCAGUGUUGAAAUAAUAAGACUGGGGAAUAGUUUCUAUAUCAACGGAUCGGAAGUUUGGAAGAUGUUUUAUGCACCAAAGAACACCCCUGCACAGGCUCGUACUACCACCCUUAACGAGGAGCUUGGCCAGGUCAAAUAUGUGUUCUCUGACAAAACAGGGACCCUGACUCGGAACAUCAUGGUCUUCAAUAAGUGUUCUAUCUAUGGAAAGCUCUAUGGUGGUUCCUAUGACACGGGUGGAUCUAAGGUGCCAGACUCUAAGAGACUGCUGUGA